GCGGAGAGGCGCACAGCGCAGGCGCUGGCGCGGAGAGGCGCAGGCCCAGGUCCACUCCCCAGCUGUGAAAGGAGGAGCUCUACGGUGACUUUGAAGACUUGGAAACAGGGGACAUGCACAAGGGAAAAUCGGGCCCCGACACUCAGAAUGAAGAUAUAGAGAAACAAGGAAGAAAUUGACCCCGACGAAGAAGAAAGUGCCAAGAAAAAGCAUUUGGAUAAGAAGAGAAAAUUGAAGGAGAUGUUUGAUGCGGAAUAUGAUGAAGGAGAAAGCACAUAUUUUGAUGAUCUUAAAGGAGAAAUGCAGAAAGAAGCACAGCUGAAUCACGUAGAAUUUGAAGAUCAAGAUGAUGAAGCCAGAGUUCAGUAUGAUGGUUUUCGACCUGGGAUGUACGUCCGCGUUGAGAUUGAAAAUGUUCCCUGUGAAUUUGUGCAGAACUUUGACCCCCAUUACCCCAUUAUCCUGGGUGGCUUGGGCAACAGCGAGGGAAAUGUUGGACACGUGCAGAUGCGUCUGAAGAAACAUCGCUGGUAUAAGAAAAUCCUCAAGUCCCAAGAUCCAAUCAUAUUUUCUGUAGGGUGGAGGAGGUUUCAGACCAUCCUGCUCUAUUAUAUUGAAGACCACAAUGGAAGACAAAGGCUUCUAAAGUAUACCCCACAGCACAUGCAUUGUGGAGCAGCCUUUUGGGACCCUAUCACUCCACAGGGAACUGGUUUCUUGGCAAUACAGUCUGUCAGUGGCAUAAUGCCUGAUUUUCGGAUAGCUGCCACAGGAGUUGUCCUUGAUCUGGAUAAAUCCAUAAAAAUUGUGAAGAAAUUAAAGCUAACUGGUUUUCCAUAUAAAAUUUUCAAGAACACUUCAUUUAUUAAGACAGCAGUGAUGAGCAUGCCCGUGAACUCACAUGAUUAUUUUGGGGAAAAUGAAAGAGUUGUAUUCUUUUUGAGGUAGUAAUUCCACUUUCAGGGGCAAAUACAUUUUGAUUAUUUUAUCACC
rnacentral:lncRNA from 1 species